AGAGUUUGAUCCUGGCUCAGGAUGAACGCUAGCGGCGCGCUUAAUGCAUGCAAGUCGAGCGAUGAGGCCCUCUUCGGGGGGUACAUCAGCGGCAGACGGGUGAGUAACACGUAGGUGAUCUACCCCAGAGACGGGGAUAACGGGUGGAAACAUCCGCUAAUACCGGAUAGGCUUGUUCGGUCAAAGGGACAAGGAAAGGCUCCGGCGCUCUGGGAGGAGCCUGCGGCCCAUCAGCUAGUUGGCGGGGUAACGGCCCACCAAGGCAGAGACGGGUAGGGGGUGUGAGAGCAUGGCCCCCCACAAUGGGACUGGAACACGGCCCAUACUCCUACGGGAGGCAGCAGCAGGGAAUAUUGCACAAUGGACGGAAGUCUGAUGCAGCGACGCCGCGUGGAUGAAGAAGGCCCUCGGGUUGUAAAAUCCUUUACAGGGGGAAGAGGAAGGACGGUACCCCUGGAACAAGUGUCGGCUAACUACGUGCCAGCAGCCGCGGGUAGACGUAGGACACAAGCGUUAUCCGGAUUUACUGGGCGUAAAGCGUCUGCAGGCGGACAGGUAAGUUGGGCGUNGAAGCUCCGGGCCCAACCCGGAGGAGUUCGUUCAAUACUGCGUGUCUAGAGGGUGUCAGAGGGGAGUGGAAUUUCCGGAGUAGCGGUAAAAUGCGCAGAGAUCGGAAAGAACACCCAUGGGCGAAGGCAGCUCCCUGGGGGCACCCCUGACGCUNAGAGACCAAAGCUAGGGGAGCGGACAGGGAUAGAGACCCUGGUAGUCCUAGCCUAAAACGAUGGAUGCUGAAUGUGGGGCCAUAGCGCUCCGUGUCGAAGCGAACGCGUUAAGCAUCCCCGCCUGGGGACUACGGCCGCAAGGUUAAAACUCAAACGAAUUGACGGGACCCCGCACAAGCAGCGGAGCGUGUGGUUUAAUUCGAUGUUACACGAAGAACCUUACCUGGGUUUGACAUCUAGGUGGUAGUGAAGCGAAAGCGGAGCGACCCUUCGGGGAGCCUAGACAGGUGCUGCAUGGCUGUCGUCAGCUCGUGCCGUGAGGUGUCGGGUUAAGUCCCGUAACGAGCGCAACCCUUGCCCUCCGUUAUACGUGUCAGAGGGGACUGCCGGCGGUAAGCCGGAGGAAGGUGGGGAUGACGUCAAGUCAGCAUGGCCUUUAUAUCCAGGGCUACACACACGCUACAAUGGCCAGUACAAAGGGCAGCGAAGCCGCGAGGUGGAGCGAAUCCCAGCAAAGCUGGUCGUAGUUCGGAUUGCAGGCUGCAACCCGCCUGCAUGAAGCCGGAGUUGCUAGUAACCGCGCGUCAGCCAUAGUGCGGUGAAUACGUUCCCGGGGUUUGUACACACCGCCCGUCACGUCAUAGGAGUCGAUAACGCCUGAAGCCGGUGGCCUAGCUCAAAAGAAAAGGCGCUGUCUAAGGCGGGGUCGGUGACUGGGACGAAGUCGUAACAAGGUAACC
rnacentral:rRNA from 1 species